UUUCCCCAAAUUGAAAUCUAGGUUUUUCCGACUCUACCGUCAAGCUCGUCGCCGACCUCCUUUCGCUUCAAUUCCGAUGUCAUAUCUUGGCGAAUAAGUAGAUAGCAUCUAUCGAUUAAGUGUCUUUCUAACUCAAUUUUUAUUUGCUUCAUUCUCUUAUUAUCUCUCUACCCAGAUCCGAGUUUGCGAGAUCUCAAGCUACCUUAACAUUAAAAUCUUCUAGUUUUGCUCUUAAAUCUUUCAACUACUUAAGCUUCAGUGCACAGCGAUUGCAUGAUUUGGGCGAUGAGUCUAAGUCGCUUCCUCUGUGGAGAUAAGACAACUUCAGAGAAUAAGGGCUUGACUAUUCUGAUCUUCAAAGAGCUUUUUUUUUUAUUAUUAUUUCAAGAACAGUUGUUGACUAACCAACCUUGAAGAAUCACGCCUCAAGAGAGCAGAGUUGAAACCAAUGUUCCUUUACAUGGCCAUGGUUGCUCUCCUAAACCAUGGUUCCUUCGCUUGGAUGACAUUAACUGCAGCAUCGAGAAGACCAAUUCAGACACAACUUUGUAAUUAGGGUGAAAUGGGUAAAGACUUUCUUUCGGAAUGACACCAAAGUCUUGGAAAUAAGUAAACAACUCUUUCCAUUCUUAAACUUUUAAAAUGAUUCUUCUGAUGGUUUAUACUACACAUUUUUUUGUAACUAUACAACACAAUUUUACUAGUGCAUGGCCACGCCAAAACUACAUAAUAUGUUUUACCCAAAUUGAAUUUCUAUAUAAUUAAGAGUACUUAUAAGCGUGGGAGAAGAUCUCUAAUACUCUUUAAC